rnacentral:lncRNA from 1 species
CCUGAAUUCCCAUUUGGGACCGGUGGGGUGUCUGCCUCUUAGCAACAGGAUACUUGGAUGAGCAGGAAAGUUGGAAUGAAAACUGUGGUCCAGCUGCCAUCUGGAAAAAGCCAUUUACAGCCCUGUCAGUGUGAAAACGAACAGGCAGUUCCUUCUGACUCCGUGGAAGGUUACCUUGUUCCUGAUGAGGUUAGUCAUGAAAGAAAUAUCAAACAGGAUCACAAGGGAUCCUGCAGCCAGCUCUCCUGAUGGUCAGUGCCUUUCACCAGGUGCUUUCGAGAACAAGAAACUCUUCAGUGAGAUGUCUCGAAGUUGCUUCCCUGCUUAAAGAACCUAAAAAGCCAACGUUUCUACUUGACCUAUGGAAUUGAAUUGGUACAAACAGAAACAAAGCUGAGAG